rnacentral:lncRNA from 1 species
ACGCAGCAUGAGAUCAGGAACAUGCGAGAUCAAUGGUGGGAAAAAAAGGCAGAAGAAAUCCAGCGGUUUGCUGAUAUGAAAAACUACAAACAAUUUUUCAGUGCCCUCAAGACUGUCUAUGGGCCAUCAAAACCCACCACCACUCCCUUGCUAUCCUCUGACGGUGACACUCUCAUAAAAGAUAAAAAAGGCAUCAGCAACAGGUGGAAAGAACACUUCAGUCAGCUUCUCAACCGACCCUCUUCAGUCGACCAAAGCGCCCUUGACCAGAUCCCUCCAAACUGCUCCAUUGAACAACUUGAUGUCCCUCCUUCAAUAGAGGAAGUCCAAAAAGCCAUUAAACAAAUGAAUGCAGGCAAGGCACCCGGUAAAGACGGGAUCCUAACCAAGGUGUAAAAGACCUUAAAUGCAAAGGCGCUCCAGGCAUUCCACAUAGUACUGACCAACAUAUGGGAAGAGGAAGCCAUGCCCCCAGAACUCAGAGAUGCCUCCACCGUAGCCCUAUACAAGGCUCACGAGCAGCCUGUGACAACUACAGAGGCAUCUCACUACUCUCCACUGCCGGAAAGAUCCUCGCCCGUGUUAUACUCAACAGACUCCUUUCAUCUGUUUCAGAGCAGAACCUGCCUGAAUCACAAUGUGGCUUCCGACCAGAUCGCAGCACCAUCGACAUGGUCUUCACGGUGAGGCAAAUGCAGGAAAAAUGCCUUGAGCAGAACCUGAGUCUCUACAUUGGCUUCAUAGACCUCACAAAGGCGUUCGACACAGUGAACAGGGACGCAUUGUGGGUGAUCCUCAGAAUGCUUGGUUGCCCAGCAAAAUUUGUCAAACUGAUCCAGCUCUUUCAUGUCGACAUGACAGGGGAAGUCCUAUCUGGUGGAGAGACUUCCAAUCGCUUCAACAUCUCCAAUGGCGUGAAACAAGGCUGUGUCCUCGCUCUGGCACUAUUCAACCUAUUUUUCACCCAAAUAUUACGACAUGCUGUGAUGGAUCUAGACCUGGGCGUCUACAUCAAAUACCGACUGGAUGGCUCACUAUUCGACCUUCACUGCCUGACUGCAAAAACAAAGACAACAGAGAAACUCAUCCUGGAAGCUCUCUUCUCAGAUGACUGUGUUCUCAUGGCCCACCAAGAAAAUCAUCUCCAAACCAUUGUGGACAGGUUCUCCACCGCAACAAAAUUGUUUGGCCUGACUAUCAGCCUCAGCAAAACAGAGGUGCUGUUCCAACCUGCACCAGGGAAGCCAACGAACCAGCCGUGCAUUACAGUCGACGGCACACAGCUUUCUAACAUCAACACUUUCAAGUACCUGGGCAGCACCAUCGCCAUUGAUG